ACAUAUAGCCGCUUUUAGUUGCCGCCCCGUUCGCCCCGCCCACCACACAUCGCCUGACAACAAACAAAUUGCAGGCCAUCGAUUGCCCGACUCGGUUCCAGUUUCGGGCCAUCAGCCACCCCAACACACAGCCAACAAAACAAUCACCGUAUAAUUAAGCAGAAAGCAGAUAGAACCGAUUGCGAACCACCAGCAAGUCCAGAUCAGCUGGAUUCGAAAUAAUCAUCUCCCCGAUUAUGCAAACAAACACGGUGUGAAGGGCGGUCCGAGUGAAAAUAAACUUACACACAAAUUAGCGGGGCAAUCGAAACGAUCGCUAUAAAUAAACGAUAAACGCUGAAGCUGAAAAUUGAAAACUGAAAGCAUCUUGUUAUUGUUUAUUUAUCAAAGUCGUUAGAGAUUUAGCAUUUUGGCUUGCCUUUCAUUCUUCAGAGUGCGCGCUUGUCGCUUCAAUUCUCGCCGGCGGGAGACACUGAGAGAAAUGGGUUCUGGGGUACCAAUUUCCAUAAAACUUGAAUUUUAUCGCCCAAACAUUUUUUUCUGAGUGGCUCUAAGUGUGUGCAGCGGGCGCUUGAUUAGGUGCAAAUUAAUUCGAAAUUAGCUGCGGGCUUUCGGCGGGUUUAUCGCCUCUUUGUGCUUGAAAUGCUGAAUAAAGACGGAAUAUUCCACAUCUGACCCGCAAAGUGUUCUCCACUGAAAAUCCGCCCCCGGCACACCACGCCCCAGCCCAACCCUUUUCGACCCGGCCUGGCCCGGCCUGGCCCGGCCCGGCCUAAGCCGCUUAGGUUGCGUGGUCUCCGAAGACUCUCGGGCGCCCGUCCAAGUGGCCUUGGCUGGCAAAAAAGGAGGAAAAAACUUUCGCACAAAAUUACACUUAAUUGCGUGUGGCAUCAUGAAAAAAUCAUCAAAGGGGCUGCCCUGGGAGGAUAUCGAUUCCUAGGCAGCUAUGGGUUGGGUCCUCAAUCAAUAGUUGCUUACCCACUACUAAUUUGCAUUACAUUACCCAAAUGACAAAUGCCCAGGCAGCAGCCCCCCAAAACGGCCAUAAAGGCAAAAACACGCAUACGCCGAGUGGGCCGGUUAUUUUUUGUUGGGUGCUUUUAUUUCACGCGGCAUACACGCAUAAUUAAGCACAGCAGUUCACUCACACUCGCACACUACAUUGUUAGAGGGGCAUGCCCCUAUGCUGCACAUCAUCCCAAGCCCCGGCGAGUUCCGAACAGCUCACGUCAUACUCGUAGCGCCACUUUCGGUGGAAAAAGGUCGGGAAAAAAGAAGAGUCUGGUACACUCUUCCAGUAGUUACUUUCAGCAGUCCAUUUAGGAAACACCAUGUGAGGGUACGAAUAUGAUUUUUAUGAAAAAUAAACAGAAAAGUUAAACUCUAAAGGUAAACAAACCAUAGUCGAUAGUUAGUAGACGAUAGUUAGUAGUCGAAUAAAAAUAAGUCGAUAACAGAUCGCUGUUACAGCCCUUUAAAGCUGUUAAGGCAAACAAUCUGGCAACCCCAUCCAUCUGGCAAUUUUGACAACUGAAUUUCCGCUUGCUUGGCUGGUUCUUUUGCAAUCAAAACGCCAAAGUUAGAAGUUGUCUACAACCAAAAGAAAUAGUGAAUAUCGCCAACGUGGAAACUGGGAUAGUACCGAACACGGUACACCAGGAGACUGAGAUCAGAAGCCGAACGUUGGCUGUGGAUGAGCCCAGCCGUUCGCCGCUGCACGUGUGUUGUGGUUGUGGCGAAAAAGACUCCAGGAAGUGUUAGGAAACCCACCCGAUCGUUUACGUAGCGCUCGCCAAAAGCCUACGUCAAGCCACCGAUCGAGUUUCGACCCAGAGGUCUACGGCGGAGACACCGCGUGGAUCAUCGGCCAGGGAUCCAGGAAAAGCUUUCCUCGAUCAGCCCCUAAACGUGCGCGAACCCGGUCCAGACUCGAACCGCGAUCGGCGAGGUCUGUGACCGGCGACGUGUGCGUGAUUGGGGCCGCAGAAGAUCAGGAGCGGGCUGGAACCUGGCCAACCCAGGAGCGUGGAGGACAUAACCUCACUUUCCGGAGCAGAACCGCAUGUUCGUUUGAGCCGACCGCAUUUAACCUGAUGGGCUAGCCGACGAUCGCUGAGGCAGACAUCUCGUCCAUAGUGACGAUUCAACGAGAACAACAACAACCAGGAGAGAAGCGCGACAAGCUGCGCCAGGAUUAAUGUAUUAUUAAGUAGAAUUUAAUUUUUCAUUAGUUUUUGUAAGUCAUUUUGGAUCGUGCAUAGACUCAUCUUUUGUUUUCUGUAGAGCAUUGAUAAGAGGCACAUGUACAUCAAACUCCAUAAUCUAAUUCGCUUUUAACCUGAUCACCCCAAAACAUCCAGCGUUCUCGUCUACAGGCCUGCGGACUUCGAGGGAUGGUUUCGUGAGUAAACAUUGUCAUGUAACAAACUUGAUCAUGUAACAGUGCCUCUAGAGGAAAACAUAUGAAUAGUCAGUCCAUAUCAAAAUGAUUGGGUAGACGUUAUAACUUAACUCCUACUUCACAUUCAUACAUAUAAUUCUUUAUCCACACAUUUUUACAUUAUAUUCCAAUUUGUUAAUUAAGCUAAAGUAAACUCAUUUUGUAGGAUUAGGACCAAUUAGGAGUAAGGGUUUAGGUUAAGCAUGAGUCUGAAGAAGAAGCUAUUAUGAUUUUGUAUUGAAGUUUGAUUUUGAAAUGAAGUAAAUUUAGAAUUUGUAUGGGCACCUGAGCUGAUCGAUUUCAAUAUGGGUAAGGGCACCAGCAAUUCGUUGUUGUUUCUUUACAGGUAGGGCGGGCAAAGCAGAAGAACCUCACCACCUUCGUUCUUCAAUCAGCAUGGUUUCCUGUCUCGACUUCAUAUCCUUCCAGAGGACUGUAUCCCCUUUCCUAACUCUGUCUACAAAUUUUUAUUGUGUGGCGGUGAUGCUGAUUAGGAAGUAACCGACCCCCUUGCCUCUUCACUGAGCUAGGCCGUUCCCGUAGGCAGAGUAUGCAACCAGUCGGUAUCCACUACACCGUGUUCGUCACAGAAUAAAAUGGCGCCCAACGUGGGGCUAGCAAAACAUCUAGCUAAGCAACAAACAAAACACCAAAUCGCAGCCCCUGCUCUCACGAGCUAACCUCCAACCUAUCCUAACAGUCAGCCUUCCAAACAAGUUUCUUUAGUUUCAGAAAACCCUUCUUUUGAUUCCACUAGGAUUGCUGUGUUUUGGGAAAUCCUCAGAACCAGACCAGGGAACAAAUUAAGGAUUAGGAAGAUGUUUCUCUUGAAAUAUCCUUGUGUUUAUAUAUGUAUUUAAGGAACAAGAAGUCGAGACUGUAUUGGCUGGAAUGUUUCAGCAAUAACUCCUUCUUAUCCCUUGAUCAACUCAUCCAACCAUAAAUAUUCAUAAAUUCGAGAAUUGUAAUUGUUGGAAAUUCAGCAAUACCUCAUUUUUCAAUAUUUUGGCUUCAAUUUUCACCCUUUAUUAUUGACAGAAAGUUGCCUAAAUGAAAUUGAGAAUUAUAUUGGUUGGAGUAUUUCAGCAGUAUACUCUUUCAUUUAGCGCAAUGAACACAUCAGUUUGUUUUAGAUUCAAUAGAAAUAUGAAGAGACAGACAGUAAACCUUGCAAUAUAUUAAAUGAAAUCGAUACAGCAAAGGAUAAGCCCCAGAUAUCCCAUAAAGUUCAGGUUUCCGAAAUUAAAUAGGGAAAAUAAUAGAAAUAUUAUCAAUCAGCUUUCGUUAUCUUUUAGUUGUUGAAUAUCGAAAUCGAAAUAAUGUCAGUCCGGCGCAGUCCUGAAAAUAGUUCAAGAUUGGCCGUUGAGUCGGUGCAAUGCUCCGUAUGCAAUGAUACCAACGCCGAGAUAGAAUUUGUCGAAACUCCGUGUCAACACCGCUUUCAUCGAACGUGCGUAACUGCAUGGUUACAGCAAAAUGAAACGUGUCCAAAUUGUCGACAACCAUGCUUAUCUUCGCAGCUAAAUAACAGCACGCGAGGAUCACAAGACUCUACCUUAGAAGUUCCGAGGGGUCAAAAUGGAUCCAAUUUAAACUCGCGAACAGGUGCCGUUCCUAGAACUCGCCCCAAUACCAGAACUGCCACUGUCAUGAAGAGUUCUUCAACAAUCUCAGAGCUAAAAGUAGUUCACGUCCAAGGUAGUGAGGGAUUAUUUAGAAGAUGAGAUUUUUGUAUGUUUUGGAACUCCUGAGGUUUUGGUUAGCGAUAAUGGCACUCAGUUUAAAAGCCAGGACUUCGCAGCCUUUACAUCCAAGCAUGGAAUCCAACAUAAUUUCACUGGUGCUUACUCUCCGCAAUCCAACGCGGCGGAGCGCGUCAACCGUAAAAAGAGAAAUUUCGUUCUAAGCAACCAGGCUAAGCAUAUCAACGCAAAAUUGUCACCGGUGGGAAUCAAGGCCAGAGUAAAGGAGAAGAGAGGGCAGUCGUUAUAUCUGCUCGAAGACAUCAAUGGAAAGGAGUUAGGAGUUUCCAUGCAAAAGACCUUUGGUGAAGUACCCUUUUUCAGCUUUCAUCUCCUUUUAUUAUCAGGUCGAUAAAACCUGUGGUGUGAGGGUACGAAUAUGAUUUUUAUGAAAAAUAAACAGAAAAGUUAAACUCUAAAGGUAAACAAACCAUAGUCGAUAGUUAGUAGACGAUAGUUAGUAGUCGAAUAAAAAUAAGUCGAUAACAGAUCGCUGUUACAGCCCUUUAAAGCUGUUAAGGCAAACAAUCUGGCAACCCCAUCCAUCUGGCAAUUUUGACAACUGAAUUUCCGCUUGCUUGGCUGGUUCUUUUGCAAUCAAAACGCCAAAGUUAGAAGUUGUCUACAACCAAAAGAAAUAGUGAAUAUCGCCAACGUGGAAACUGGGAUAGUACCGAACACGGUACACCAGGAGACUGAGAUCAGAAGCCGAACGUUGGCUGUGGAUGAGCCCAGCCGUUCGCCGCUGCACGUGUGUUGUGGUUGUGGCGAAAAAGACUCCAGGAAGUGUUAGGAAACCCACCCGAUCGUUUACGUAGCGCUCGCCAAAAGCCUACGUCAAGCCACCGAUCGAGUUUCGACCCAGAGGUCUACGGCGGAGACACCGCGUGGAUCAUCGGCCAGGGAUCCAGGAAAAGCUUUCCUCGAUCAGCCCCUAAACGUGCGCGAACCCGGUCCAGACUCGAACCGCGAUCGGCGAGGUCUGUGACCGGCGACGUGUGCGUGAUUGGGGCCGCAGAAGAUCAGGAGCGGGCUGGAACCUGGCCAACCCAGGAGCGUGGAGGACAUAACCUCACUUUCCGGAGCAGAACCGCAUGUUCGUUUGAGCCGACCGCAUUUAACCUGAUGGGCUAGCCGACGAUCGCUGAGGCAGACAUCUCGUCCAUAGUGACGAUUCAACGAGAACAACAACAACCAGGAGAGAAGCGCGACAAGCUGCGCCAGGAUUAAUGUAUUAUUAAGUAGAAUUUAAUUUUUCAUUAGUUUUUGUAAGUCAUUUUGGAUCGUGCAUAGACUCAUCUUUUGUUUUCUGUAGAGCAUUGAUAAGAGGCACAUGUACAUCAAACUCCAUAAUCUAAUUCGCUUUUAACCUGAUCACCCCAAAACAUCCAGCGUUCUCGUCUACAGGCCUGCGGACUUCGAGGGAUGGUUUCGUGAGUAAACAUUGUCAUGUAACAAACUUGAUCAUGUAACAGUGCCUCUAGAGGAAAACAUAUGAAUAGUCAGUCCAUAUCAAAAUGAUUGGGUAGACGUUAUAACUUAACUCCUACUUCACAUUCAUACAUAUAAUUCUUUAUCCACACAUUUUUACAUUAUAUUCCAAUUUGUUAAUUAAGCUAAAGUAAACUCAUUUUGUAGGAUUAGGACCAAUUAGGAGUAAGGGUUUAGGUUAAGCAUGAGUCUGAAGAAGAAGCUAUUAUGAUUUUGUAUUGAAGUUUGAUUUUGAAAUGAAGUAAAUUUAGAAUUUGUAUGGGCACCUGA